rnacentral:rRNA from 1 species
CAGUAGCCGCGGUAAUACGUAGGUGGCAAGCGUUGUCCGGAAUUAUUGGGCGUAAAGGGCUCGCGGGCGGUUUCUUAAGUCUGAUGUGAAAGCCCCCGGCUCAACCGGGGAGGGUCAUUGGAAACUGGGAAACUUGAGUGCAGAAGAGGAGAGUGGAAUUCCACGUGUAGCGGUGAAAUGCGUAGAGAUGUGGAGGAACACCAGUGGCGAAGGCGACUCUCUGGUCUGUAACUGACGCUGAGGAGCGAAAGCGUGGGGAGCGAACAGGAUUAGAUACCCGGGUAGUCCCUGUCUCUUAUAC